CAGGCUAAUGCUGGGACAUUAAAAAUGCUUUAACGCUGAAUGGAACUAAGAUGUCAGGGGACUCCAUAUACUAUAACCACUUCAACGAGAUGAUACAGUUUACAGUACCUAGUGUCCCUAAAAAAAUUGCAUUUCUCCAAUGAAAAACUCUGCGAGGCAAGUACUCAGUUUACUCGGUUACCUUUAAAAAAUGUGCAAUAACAAGUAAGACUGUGAUACGCAUUCAAGCUUUAUCCACGCUCCCACUCCUCCUGCUCUACUAUAUUCCCUCCUCUCCCUUUCCCCUCGCUUCAAUUCCCCCCCAUCUGUACGCUACACCUCCCCCAAUGAACCACUCCUGAUAGAAACACUGAUUAUUUUCUGCUGACUCUGCUACAUGUCAGGCUGUAACCAGAGUAGGAAAGUUUCCAAGAAAAGGCUGCUCUGUGUUCCGAUGACAGCUGGAGAGGUGAUUUACAGUCGGGUCUCACCUUUAGGCAAAAAGCAAAGGAAUACUGAUUUUUUUUUAACUCUUUGCAGCCAGUCCAGCUGGAGAGCGCUGAACUAUCCAGUGACUGUGUAAUGUAAAUGCUCAGGCGGUUUAUCGGACCUUUUAGUAGUUUCUGUUCAGUCUCAUGGAUUUAGAAUCCAUUGUACAGAUUUUUUAUUUUUUUUUAUCAGAGGUUCAUCAUAAACCUCAUAAAUCCCUUGUACCCCCUCGCCAGCUGAAUUAUACUGACAUGUUUAAUGGGAUACAAGGUCAAUCUCACUGGAGAACAUCAUUUUUAACACUAGUGACAUGUUUAAUGGAUUUAAGCAUCUAAAAGCUUGGCUCACCCUUUGACACAAAAGGGACGACAAAGUAAGAAAAAUGAGUGUUAUAAUCAGCCAGCGUUAUAAGUGGUUAUAGUAUAAAAAAACUUUGAAAAUACAAUAAGAUUCCAUUAAACUCGUUCCAUCUGGAGACCUGUGACAUGGUCUCUAGAAAUCCCAGAGUUUGUUCCUUCUGCAUUUAACCUUGGCUUUUUAUUUACUAUUCUGGCUUCUGUGUUCUGCAACCUUUGGCUUGUCUUUACGUCCUGUUGCUUUUCUGUAUCCCUUUACCUCGGCUUGUAUUCUGACUAUUCUCGCUUUUGUGAUAACGUUAGGCCUGGCCACCUCUAAGGACCAAUAAUACAUCUUGGCUUUUUUUCCCUUUUCUAGAUUAGAGUGUGGGGAUCCCAACCCAUCCUGACAUUAUAUUGCAUUGAAAAUCCAAGAGUUUAUACAGACACCGUGCAGAGUCAUAAGAGUUG